CCUCCUUCUUUUUCCCUCUUUCUCCUUCUUUCCUUUUUUUCCCUUUCUCUUCUCCUGCGUGGCCCGUCUGCUGUGAAAACCCGGGGCUCAACCCCGGGACUGCAUUGGAAACUGUCAAUCUAGAGUACCGGAGAGGUAAGCGGAAUUCCUAGUGUAGCGGUGAAAUGCGUAGAUAUUAGGAGGAACACCAGUGGCGAAGGCGGCUUACUGGACGGUAACUGACGUUGAGGCUCGAAAGCGUGGGGAGCAAACAGG
rnacentral:rRNA from 1 species